rnacentral:tRNA from 1 species
UGGUGGAAUUGGUAGACACAAGGGAUUUAAAAUCCCUCGGCGUUCGCGCUGUGCCGGUUCAAGUCCGGCCCGGGGCACCA